rnacentral:rRNA from 1 species
GUUUGAUCCUGGCUCAGGAUGAACGCUGACAGAAUGCUUAACACAUGCAAGUCAACUUGAAUUUGGGUUUUUAACUUAGGUUUGGGUGGCGGACGGGUGAGUAACGCGUAAAGAACUUGCCUCACAGGUAGGGACAACAUUUGGAAACGAAUGCUAAUACCUAAUAUUAUGAUAAUAGGGCAUCCUAUAAUUAUGAAAGCUAUAAGCGCUGUGAGAGAGCUUUGCGUCCCAUUAGCUAGUUGGAGAGGUAACGGCUCACCAAGGCGAUGAUGGGUAGCCGGCCUGAGAGGGUGAUCGGCCACAAGGGGACUGAGACACGGCCCUUACUCCUACGGGAGGCAGCAGUGGGGAAUAUUGGACAAUGGACCGAGAGUCUGAUCCAGCAAUUCUGUGUGCACGAUGAAGUUUUUCGGAAUGUAAAGUGCUUUCAGUUGGGAAGAAAAAAAUGACGGUACCAACAGAAGAAGUGACGGCUAAAUACGUGCCAGCAGCCGCGGUAAUACGUAUGUCACGAGCGUUAUCCGGAUUUAUUGGGCGUAAAGCGCGUCUAGGUGGUUAUGUAAGUCUGAUGUGAAAAUGCAGGGCUCAACUCUGUAUUGCGUUGGAAACUGUAUAACUAGAGUACUGGAGAGGUAAGCGGAACUACAAGUGUAGAGGUGAAAUUCGUAGAUAUUUGUAGGAAUGCCGAUGGGGAAGCCAGCUUACUGGACAGAUACUGACGCUGAAGCGCGAAAGCGUGGGUAGCAAACAGGAUUAGAUACCCUGGUAGUCCACGCCGUAAACG